GUGGGGAAUAUUGGACAAUGGGCGAAAGCCUGAUCCAGCCAUGCCGCGUGUGUGAAGAAGGUCUUCGGAUUGUAAAGCACUUUAAGUUGGGAGGAAGGGCAUUAACCUAAUACGUUAGUGUUUUGACGUUACCAACAGAAUAAGCACCGGCUAACUUCGUGUCAGCAGCCGCGGUAAUACGAAGGGUGCAAGCGUUAAUCGGAAUUACUGGGCGUAAAGCGCGCGUAGGUGGUUCAGCAAGUUGAAGGUGAAAUCCCCGGGCUCAACCUGGGAACUGCCUCCAAAACUACUGAGCUAGAGUACGGUAGAGGGUAGUGGAAUUUCCUGUGUAGCGGUGAAAUGCGUAGAUAUAGGAAGGAACACCAGUGGCGAAGGCGACUACCUGGACUGAUACUGACACUGAGGUGCGAAAGCGUGGGGAGCAAACAGGAUUAGAUACCCUUGUAGUCC
rnacentral:rRNA from 1 species